rnacentral:rRNA from 1 species
AUUGAACGCUGGCGGCAUGCCUUACACAUGCAAGUCGAACGGCAGCACGGGAGCAAUCCUGGUGGCGAGUGGCGAACGGGUGAGUAAUAUAUCGGAACGUGCCCGGUCGUGGGGAUAACGUAGCGAAAGCUACGCUAAUACCGCAUACGAUCUACGGAUGAAAGCGGGGGAUCGCAAGACCUCGCGCGAUUGGAGCGGCCGAUAUCAGAUUAGGUAGUUGGUGAGGUAAAGGCUCACCAAGCCGACGAUCUGUAGCUGGUCUGAGAGGACGACCAGCCACACUGGGACUGAGACACGGCCCAGACUCCUACGGGAGGCAGCAGUGGGGAAUUUUGGACAAUGGGCGCAAGCCUGAUCCAGCAAUGCCGCGUGCAGGAUGAAGGCCUUCGGUUGUAACU